UGCGUAGGCGGUUUUGUAAGACAGUGGUGAAAUCCCCGGGCUCAACCUGGGAACUGCCAUUGUGACUGCAAGGCUGGAGUGCGGCAGAGGGGGAUGGAAUUCCGCGUGUAGCAGUGAAAUGCGUAGAUAUGCGGAGGAACACCGAUGGCGAAGGCAAUCCCCUGGGCCUGCACUGACGCUCAUGCACGAAAGGCUGGGAGCAAACA
rnacentral:rRNA from 1 species